GAUGAACGCUAGCGGCAGGCCUAAUACAUGCAAGUCGAACGGUGUAGCAAUACAUAGUGGCGCACGGGUGCGUAACACGUAUGCAACCUACCUUAUACUGGGGGAUAGCCUUUGGAAACGGAGAUUAAUACCCCAUAGUUCCUUUAGAUGGCAUCAUUUGAAUGUUAAAGAUUUAUCGGUCUAAGCUGGGCAUGCGUCCACUUAGUUAGUUGGUGAGGUAACGGCUCACCAAGACUUUGAUUGGUAGGGGAAGUGAGAGGUUAGUGCCCCACACUGGCACUGAGAUCCGGGCCAGACUCCGACGGGCGGCGGCAGUAGGGAAUAUGGGGCAAUGGAGGCGACUCUGACCCAGCCAUGCCGCGAGCAGGAAGAAGGCGUUAUGCGUUGUAAACUGCUUUUAUAUAGGAAGAAAUAGUCCUUGCGAGGAAAGUUGACGGUACUAUAUGAAUAAGCACCGGCUAACUCCGUGCCAGCCGCCGCCGUAA
rnacentral:rRNA from 1 species